rnacentral:tRNA from 4 species
AGUAAAGUCAGCUAAGCAAGCUCUCGGGCCCAUACCCCGAACAUGUUGGUUAAAAUCCUUCCUUUGCUA